rnacentral:misc_RNA from 1 species
GAUGAAGAACGUAGCGAAAUGCGAUAAGUAAUGUGAAUUGCAGAAUUCAGUGAAUCAUCGAAUCUUUGAACGCACAUUGCGCCCGCCAGUAUUCUGGCGGGCAUGCCUGUUCGAGCGUCAUUUCAACCAUCAAGCCCCAGGCUUGUGUUGGGGACCUGCGGCUGCCGCAGGCCCUGAAAACCAGUGGCGGGCUCGCUGUCACACCGGGCGUAGUAGAUUUUAUCUCGCUCAGGGCGUGCUGCGGGUUCCGGCCGUUAAAAAGCCUUUUUUACCCAAGGUUGACCUCGGAUCAGGUAGGAAGACCCGCUGAACUUAAGCAUAUCAAUAGGCGGAGGA